rnacentral:rRNA from 1 species
CAAUAAGCGGAGGAAAAGAAACUAACAAGGAUUCCCCUAGUAACUGCGAGUGAAGCGGGAUGAGCUCAAAUUUAAAAUCUGGCGUCUUCGGCGUCCGAGUUGUAAUUUAGAGAAGUGUUUUCCGCGCCGGACCGUGUACAAGUCUCCUGGAACGGAGCGUCAUAGAGGGUGAGAAUCCCGUCUUUGACACGGACCCCCGGUGCUCUGUGAUACGCUCUCGAAGAGUCGAGUUGUUUGGGAAUGCAGCUCAAAAUGGGUGGUGAACUCCAUCUAAAGCUAAAUAUUGGCGAGAGACCGAUAGCGAACAAGUACCGUGAGGGAAAGAUGAAAAGCACUUUGGAAAGAGAGUGAAACAGUACGUGAAAUUGUUGAAAGGGAAACGCUUGAAGUCAGUCGCGUCCGCCGGAGCUCAGCCGCAAGGUGUACUCUCUGGUGGACGGGCCAGCAUCACUUUCGAUCAUCGGAAAAGGGUGAGGGGAAUGUGGCACCUCCGGGUGUGUUAUAGCCCCUUGUCGUAUACGGUGACCGGGAGUGAGGACCGCCUUUUGUAGGAUGCUGGCGUAAUGGCUUUAAACGACCCGUCUUGAAACACGGACCAAGGAGUCUAACAUGCCCGCGAGUGUUCGGGUGGAAAACCCGUGCGCGUAAUGAAAGUGAAAGUUGGGAAGGCUGUCGCGGCCUGCACCGACGCCCGGACUUGAGAUUUAUCGAAGGUUCUGCGGUAGAGCGUGUAUGUUGGGACCCGAAAGAUGGUGAACUAUGCCUGAAUAGGGUGAAGCCAGAGGAAACUCUGGUGGAGGCUCGUAGCGAUUCUGACGUGCAAAUCGAUCGUCAAAUUUGGGUAUAGGG